rnacentral:rRNA from 1 species
ACCUGGUUGAUCCUGCCAGUUAUCAUAUGCUUGUCUCAAAGAUUAAGCCAUGCAUGUCUAAGUGCAAGCCACAUUAAGGUGAAACCGCGGAAGGCUCAUUAUAUCAGUUAUGGUUCAAUAGAUCGUACUUCAGUUACAUGGAUAACUGCGGAAAUACUGGAGCUAAUACAUGCCAACAGAGUCCCGACCGGAGACGGAAGGGACGCUUUUAUUAGAUCAAAACCAAUCGGUGGUUUCGGCCAUCGUCUACUUUGGUGACUCUGAAUAACUUUGGGCUGAUCGCACGGCCUUCGUGCCGGCGACGCAUCUUUCAAAUGUCUGCCUUAUCAACUGUCGAUGGUAGGUUCUGCGCCUACCAUGGUUGUAACGGGUAACGGGGAAUCAGGGUUCGAUUCCGGAGAGGGAGCCUGAGAAACGGCUACCACAUCUAAGGAAGGCAGCAGGCGCGUAAAUUACCCACUCCCAGCACGGGGAGGUAGUGACGAAAAAUAACGAUACGGGACUC